rnacentral:rRNA from 1 species
UACGUAGGGUGCGAGCGUUGUCCGGAAUUAUUGGGCGUAAAGGGCUCGUAGGCGGUUUGUCGCGUCGGGAGUGAAAACCUACAGCUUAACUGUGGGCUUGCUUUCGAUACGGGCAGACUAGAGGUAUGCAGGGGAGAACGGAAUUCCUGGUGUAGCGGUGGAAUGCGCAGAUAUCAGGAGGAACACCGGUGGCGAAGGCGGGUCUCUGGGCAGUAACUGACGCUGAGGAGCGAAAGCGUGGGGAGCGAACAGG